AGCGAACGCUGGCGGCAGGCUUAACACAUGCAAGUCGAGCGCCCGUAGCAAUACGGGAGCGGCAGACGGGAGAGUAACACGUGGGAACAUGCCCUUCGGUUCGGAAUAACUCAGGGAAACUUGAGCUAAUACCGGAUACGUCCGUAAGGAGAAAGAUUUAUCGCCCGAAGGAUUGGCCCGCGUCCGAUUAGCUUGGUUGGUGAGGUAAUGGCUCACCAAGGCGACGAUCGGUAGCUGGCUGAGAGGAUGAUCAGCCUCACU
rnacentral:rRNA from 1 species